rnacentral:tRNA from 1 species
GGGGAGGUGCCAGAGUGGACGAUUGGGGCCGCCUGCUAAGCGGCUGUGGGGGUAAGACUCCACCCAGGGUUCGAAUCCCUGCCUCCCCGCCA